GCUGAGGAGCAGGGGGAGUAGAGGGUGGACAAGUUUGAGCUUCCGGAGCAAGAUGCAGGACCCCAAUGCAGACACUGAGUGGAAUGACAUCUUACGCAAAAAGGGCAUCUUGCCCUCCAAGGAAAGCUCAGAAGAAUUGGAAAAGGAAGCAGAAGAGGAAGAGCAGCGAGUCCUUCAACAGUCAAUUGUGAAAACGUAUGAAGAUAUGACUUUGGAAGAGCUGGAGGAUAAUGAAGAUGAAUUUAAUGAGGAUGAUGAACGUGCUAUUGAAAUGUACAGGCAACAAAGACUGGCUGAGUGGAAAGCAACUAAACUGAAGAAUAAAUUUGGAGAAGUUUUAGAGAUCUCAGGAAAGGAUUACGUUCAAGGAGUUACCAAAGCUGGUGAAGGCUUGUGGGUAAUUUUGCACCUUUAUAAACAAGGAAUUCCCCUCUGUGCCCUAAUAAACCAACACUUCAGUGGACUUGCAAGGAAGUUUCCUGAUGUUAAAUUUAUCAAAGCCAUUUCAACAACCUGCAUACCCAAUUAUCCUGAUAAGAAUCUGCCCACAAUAUUUGUUUAUCUUGAAGGAGAUAUCAAGGCUCAGUUUAUUGGUCCUCUAGUGUUUGGUGGGAUGAACCUGACAAGAGAUGAGUUGGAGUGGAAAUUGUCUGAAUCUGGAGCAAUCAAGACAGACCUGGAGGAAAACCCCAAGAAACCAGUAGAAGAUGCAUUACUGUCUCAGUGCGGUCCUCAGUCCCUGUGAGGAAAGACAGUGAUUCUGAGGAUGACUGAGGCUUCAACAGACAAAACCUGCUGAAUUUUCUUGAUGUGACAAAUCACCUGGAUUUUUAAAAUUAGAAAAAG